rnacentral:misc_RNA from 1 species
AACGAGGCCGACCUGCGGCUGAGUUACCUGCGGAGGGAUCAUUACCGAGUUUACAACUCCCAAACCCCUGUGAACAUACCUAUACGUUGCCUCGGCGGAUCAGCCCGCGCCCCGUAAAAAGGGACGGCCCGCCCGAGGACCCCUAAACUCUGUUUUUAGUGGAACUUCUGAGUAAAACAAACAAAUAAAUCAAAACUUUCAACAACGGAUCU